UACGUAGGGGGCAAGCGUUGUCCGGAUUUAUUGGGCGUAAAGAGCGUGUAGGCGGUUUGGUAGGUCCGCUGUGAAAACUCGAGGCUCAACCUCGAGACGCCGGUGGAAACCAUCAGGCUAGAGUCCGGAAGAGGAGAGUGGAAUUCCUGGUGUAGCGGUGAAAUGCGCAGAUAUCAGGAAGAACACCCGUGGCUAAGGCGGCUCUCUAGUACGGUACUGACGCUGAGACGCGAAAGCGUGGGGAGCGAGCCGG
rnacentral:rRNA from 1 species